rnacentral:rRNA from 1 species
UGGGGAAUUUUGGACAAUGGGCGCAAGCCUGAUCCAGCAAUGCCGCGUGAGUGAAGAAGGCCUUCGGGUUGUAAAGCUCUUUUGUCAGGGAAGAAACGGGCCGGGCUAAUAUCCUGGCCUAAUGACGGUACCUGAAGAAUAAGCACCGGCUAACUACGUGCCAGCAGCCGCGGUAAUACGUAGGGUGCAAGCGUUAAUCGGAAUUACUGGGCGUAAAGCGUGCGCAGGCGGUUGUGCAAGACCGAUGUGAAAUCCCCGGGCUUAACCUGGGAAUGGCAUUGGUGACUGCACGGCUAGAGUGUGUCAGAGGGGGGUAGAAUUCCACGUGUAGCAGUGAAAUGCGUAGAGAUGUGGAGGAAUACCGAUGGCGAAGGCAGCCCCCUGGGAUAACACUGACGCUCAUGCACGAAAGCGUGGGGAGCAAACAG